UGAGGCGGCACAUGGGCGGUACUCUGCAGACACUCCAGGCAUAAAGUUCAGUGCACACAGCAGGCCACACCUCCCACGCAUCUCCCCUUCCCACACAUUGCUCUCAUGGUAGGCACAGCUGCUUCCAGGGCAGGGGGGUGGGCAGUGACCCCGCACUGUGCUCGGCCCAGCUGGCACCCAGCUCUCUCGGGACCCUGGCUCCCAGCACCAGCAGGCUCCUAGCACACAGGCCAUCUGGGGAGGCAUCCAACAGUACCAACACAGCCACUGAGCAGAGCAGACAUGAUCCCACCUUCCAGCCUGCGGUCUCCCAGCCCAAGUCUCUGAGGUGGUGGCAGAUAUCCCUGCCUUAAGGAGAGAACGUUCUGCUGAUGCUGUUUCGGGGCCCUCCCAGAAGCAGUGCCACAUCAGGCUGAGCACUGCCUGCAGGUCGCAGGGCCCCAUACUGGGAUGACUCUCAUCACUGUGCCAGCCCAGAGGCGCGCAGCUCCCCACUGCAAAGCACCGACUUCCAGGGAAGCACAGUGCCCACCCAUGCACUGCCCCAGCUGUUCAUGGAAGGCACCGUGGGGAAUGAGGGCAGCAAAAGCAGUGGAGUGGCCUGGGACAGAUGUGGCUGCAGACAAGGGGAGGUCACAGGCAGAGCCACCGGGCCUAGUCCUCACUCUCAAGGGCAGCUCACUCAAAGGACCUGCGGCAGGAGAAUGUGUUGGAGGCAGUAAGAAGUACUGAAGUCAGAAUCAGCUGUGACAGGGCACGGACAGGCCUGGAGGAACAAUGGAGACACAGGCCUUGUUUCCUCCGCUGCGGCACCAAAUGGCACUGGAGCAGAUGAGCUACCUCGCAGGUGGUCGCCACAGCACAGCAGCAUGCACUCCCCAGGAGCUGUGGGUCCAUGAGGAAGCUCCUCUGGGGAAGCGCCCCUGACACAGUGAGGGACAGGUUCCCCAGGCCACAAGAAUUCCAAAGAACGCCUGCUUCCCGGGGGUGGGGGGGGGGACAGCUGUGGUGGAGGAAAGGAAAAUGCUCAUCUCAAACCACCUCUCUCUCUCUCAUAUUCCAAAAGUCUCUCCAAAGUGAUUGCUAUUGACUCAACAAAUGGGCAGAGUUUGGACAAAAAUUUACCAGGCCCCCUUCCAUUCCUCACAGCCACCUAGUUAAGGAUUCAAAGACAGCUACAGAAGAUCUGUGACACAUGAUGGUCCCACUUAGCGUUUUGCAGCUUUUACCACAGAGUACAAGCAAUAUGCAUCCAGCAGAAGCUGCACUUAGCCCACACCCACACCCACCAAGGAACUGGAAAGGGGCAAAGGGUGACUGACUCCUUUCCUCCUGAAUGCAGACAGGCCUGGCGUCAGCCCUGUUCCCAUCUCACCCACCAAAAGGGGCUUCUCACCCUCAAGCCCACUCCUAACUGCCACCCUCUGUGAAACACAUGGUUAGUGCUUCGGCCACCAUGGACCCUCUGAGGCCCCACGUACCCAAAUAAAACUUCACAAACAACAGCUGCCUCCUCACACAGUUCUCCGCUCUGCUCCGCAUGAAAGCCUCUGGAAGAAACCUCUGCUAGGCCUCGGCUCGAAAGGCGCUUCCACCAACCCUGCAGGUGUCCAUCUCCUGGCUUCCCUGCCUGUGGCACGGGGGCUGAAGGGGCUCCCACUGUCAAAUGGCCACCAGAAAGCUCGGGCUCACAGGCACAGCCAUCUACAGCAGGGUGCCUGUCACCCUCUCCAUGUACCUUGCCACACUCUUGGCUCUUGAAAGACGUCCAAGUGCAGCACAGAUGUUCCUCUACCUCUAGGGGCUCACACCUGAUUCGCCCAUCCCCAGCUGAACUAUCCUAAGCUGGAAAUAUACAGUGCACACCUGGCCCCUGAACAUGGCAGCUCGGCGCCUCCCCUCCUACCUGUGGGGUUGAAUGCACGGCACUGUGAGAGGAUCAGAGCAUGUACUGUAAGCCCAGGGAAACAUUAAGGUUCACAUAAGUACAGUUUCUCCUGUGCAAGUGUCACUUGUUAAAAAAUUCAGAUGUUGAAUCAUCAUGAGCCAGGGCCAAACAAUGCCAACAAAAAGAAGGCUGAAUCACAAGGAAGCACAGGAGAUGGCCAGGCCACACCAUGCCAAGUCCUUACCCAAAGGAGGGAGCAAGGGCCCACUUCUCCCCA